rnacentral:rRNA from 1 species
AUCUGCCUUUAAGCGGGGAAUAGCCCAUGGAAACGUGGAUUAAUACCCCAUAUUAUGUAGACCUCUCCUGAGGACUACAUUAAACAUUUAUGGCUUAAAGAUGAGUAUGCGUCCUAUUAGUUAGUUGGUAAGGUAACGGCUUACCAAGACGGCGAUAGGUAGGGGUCCUGAGAGGGAGAUCCCCCACACUGGUACUGAGACACGGACCAGACUCCUACGGGAGGCAGCAGUGAGGAAUAUUGGACAAUGGAGGCAACUCUGAUCCA